rnacentral:lncRNA from 1 species
AACCAUCCACCCACUGGCACUCAGGGAAGAGGAAGAGAAGAGAGGGAAGCCUCUGGAUUGCUUUUGACCAGAGAAGUGAGGUCGUAUUGAAAAGAGUUUACAAAAACAAAUUCCUUAUAACCAGAUUUGUCCAAGGUAAGGAGGUCUGGACUGUGGAGAAGAUGGAGUUUGGAAGGAUAUGCAGCUUAUAAAUGCAGUUAGACACAAAGGAUUUCCAUUGCAUCUCCAGUUUGUUGGUGGCUGGCUCCCCCUUUGCUGGUCUCUUUUAUUCCAUCUGGAAGAUUCUGUUCAUGUACACCUCUGAACUCUAAACUAGUUGUUCCUGACUUUGACUCUGCAACAUUUUUUCAGGCCUGUUGUAUUCCUGACCUUGCUUCCUCUGUGCAAUAUAUUUACUCCAGGUCAUCUCUAC